rnacentral:rRNA from 1 species
UACGUAGGGUGCAAGCGUUAUUCGGAAUUACUGGGCGUAAAGCGCACGUAGGCGGACUCUUAAGUCAGGGGUGAAAUCCUGGAGCUCAACUCCAGAACUGCCUUUGAUACUGGGAGUCUUGAGUUCGGGAGAGGUGAGUGGAACUGCGAGUGUAGAGGUGAAAUUCGUAGAUAUUCGCAAGAACACCAGUGGCGAAGGCGGCUCACUGGCCCGAUACUGACGCUGAGGUGCGAAAGCGUGGGGAGCAAACAGG